rnacentral:lncRNA from 1 species
GCUGCACCUGUGGCAUAUGGAAGUACCCAGGCUAGGGGUUGAAUCGGAGCUGCAGCUGCCAGCCUGCCAUGAGGGAUCUGAACCUCGUCUGUGACCUACAUCACAGCUCAUGGUAAUGGCCGGAUACUUAAUCCACUGAGGGAGGCCAGGGAUCGAACCCACUUCUUCAUGGCUACUAGUUGGGUUCGUUACUGAGCCACAAUGGGAACUCCUGGAAUUGGGUUUUGGGGGACAAGGGGACCAGGGAGGAGAGCCAUUGGAAAGGACAGAGGCACAAUUGUUCAGGGGAAAGGAUGGGUGCGGGCGCGGAGAAUGUUUUGUGAAAGUGGCCACCCUCAUGGAAGCCUUAAAGGUGGGUGGGGUGGGGCAAGAGGAGACCGGUCUGUCCUGCUCAGGCCUGGGGACCCUGGAACCCUGGUGAGGGCUUUGGAGCUGGCCAGGUGCCCAGGGGCCACCUCCCACCUCCAUUACCCUCAGAACGGAGAAGCCAAGAAAGGGAACCCAGCAAGGUACUCCCGUUUCAGUCUCUGGCAGGACGGUCCUGCGUAGAAUGUUCCUAUGGGGUAAAGGCGUUAUUACUUCUCUCCUCUUGGCCCAGGGCUUGAUGGCUGAGCAAACGCCUAUGCUUUAUAAGACUGAUGUGCUACCCUUUUUUUUUUUCCCCACUUUUGGCCGCCCCUGUGGCAUAUAGAGCUCCUGGGCCAGGGAUCAGACCUCAACCACAUUCAAGACCUAAGACUUAGCUGUGGCAAUGCUAGAUCCUUAACCCACUGUGCCGGGCUGGGGAUAGAACCCACGUCCCAGUGCUGCCAAGAUGCCGCCAAUCCCAUUGCACCACAGUGGGAGCUCCAUACCUGCUGCUUUAUGUAGUUGAUGUGGGGGGAGAAUGGAGCGGGUGGUCAAGCCCUUUGCUCCUUGAAAGGUCGAGCUUCUGGACUGGGACCAGGUCCAGCUAAUCCUGGGAUGGGCGCCUCCUCCUCCCUGCUCAGUCCUCCAGGCUGAAAACAACAGCCACCCCCAGGCACUGGACUGGGUGCUUGUUACAGCAACCCUGUGAGAUGGGAUCAUGAUAAACAUAUCACAGGGGAGGAAACUGAGGCUUCAGAGGUUAGGUGAAGAGCCCAGACUUAGCUAGAAAGGGGAGCAGUUGGACUUUAAAUGGUAAGAUACUGUUAAGGGAAAAAAGGUAGAACAUUUUUGGGUUUACGGUCUUUGGAGUUUAAAAAAAAAAAAAAAAAGAAAAAAUUUCAAAUCCAAUUUUGGACUUGCCAAGCACUUUGCAUGUAUUAUUUCUGUUUGUUUUUUCAAACAAUGCUAUAAAGUAUUCUGAUUCCUAUUUUAUGAAGGGGGAAAAAAGGGGGCUCAGGAAGGGGAAGGUUUAUGUGGAAAUCUACCCAGGUAGCACAUCGUGGAGCUGGGCUCAGAAUCCAGUCUGGCUAUUCCCAGGGAGGAUUUUUGGAAUCUUGCUUCCUGGAAUCGACUCUCCCCUGGGCCGGGGAUUCUGUCUCUAGCUGCCUCACAUUUUCAUUAAACCCGCCUCGGGUGCCCAGGCCCAACUCAGAAAGAUUUUGUGGGAAAGGCUGCCACCUUGUGGCCAAAGAGCAAGCCCACCAUUUAGCAGCUGGCUAUGACCUGGAAAGGCAGGGCUUUGGGAACAGGUGAAGUUGGUCUCCGAAGAGAGACUUCCGCUGGUGCAGACUUGCUUCUGGAAGGCUUCUCCACAGUCAGAGGGCCAGCUCCGGCAUCGCAGGGGUGGGGACUUCAGGUUCCCCAGCUGCCUAAGGGUGGAAAGUGGGCCUUGGCUGUGUGCACAGUGGACCGCAACUUUUCUGCAAAGUCCCGUUCGGGGAAUUCUGGAAGGUGAGCUGAGCUAAGACGUCUCCUUCAGCCCUUCUCCUGAGGUUUUGGUCAUUUUACCAGUGUCGGGGUGGGGAGAGGGGCUGUUCGCGUAAACCGACACUUCCCCUGCAGAGACGAACCCCCACCCCCGGAGGUUCUGGGGCUGUGUUCUACCCUGUGUUCUACCCUGUGUGGACACUGUCCUCAACCCCGCGGGAGUUACAGAACCUCGUCCUCACUCCUAAACCUGCUCCUGCGGGAGCUCUCCCUCUGUCCUCUUCCAGGCUGCUCCAUGUGGCUGUCACCAUCUCCCAGGCUCUGUUCUUCUGCUCCUCUGCUCUCUCCACUUUGUUCAUCAAAGGAGUGCCUAGUCAUAUUUCUCCCCAGGUACACCCGCGGGGUGCAGGAGGACGCCCACCUUCUUAGCCUCGUUUUCCUUCCAUACUGACAUCGAAAUCUCAGGCCAUGUGCCUCUUGUUAGGCUCCAAUCAGUGCUUCUCAGCUCGGGCUGCACAUUCAAAUCACCUGGGGGUGGGGCUUUGCAACCUCCCUCUGCCAGGCCACGCCCCCUCGAGAUCCUGAUGUAAUUGGCCCGGGCCCUGGAGGUCCUGCGUGCGUCCAGAAAACUCCGCAGGUGCGCAGCCUUGCUCCAGCGUUUCUGAGCACCUCCCCCUGCCCCAUCUUGCUUGCGGAUUUCUGCUCACCUCCUUCCAGGCAGCCCUCUCGCCUUCUCUCCCCUUGUUCUCGUCCCUGUGAGAAGACGCUCUCAGACUGGUGGACAGAACUGGUGGUCCUCUGCCCCGCCUUGACAGUUUUGUGCAUCACUUCUGCGCGGGUGCGGAGCCCGCCGUGCUCUCCUACGGAUCGCCUGAUGGUUCUCUUGUUUUCAACUGAGGUUUUGGACCAUGCUUUAUUUUUCCGUGUGUUCCCAGCUUCGGAAGUUGUCCGGGACAACGCUGUGUUUGGUCACUGGGACUGCUGAUGGAGGACUCAACGGCUUUCUUAGAUAGCCAGGCUUCACGUUGCUGAGAUUUCUGACCUUCAGAAGGAUGUCACCCUUUCCGAAGAUCCCUUGAGGCCGAGAGCAGCGCUCUCCCACCAAGGUACCUGUUCCUGGGCCGGGAGAGGGGAGGGGCCGCGCGGAUAUCCAUGAGGACGGGAGUUCGAUCCCUGGCCUUGCUCAGUGGGUUAAGGAUCCGGCGUUGCAGUGUGCUGUGGUGUAGGCGGGCAGCAGCAGCUCUGAUUAGACCCCUAGCCUGGGACGGUCCAUAUGCUGUGGGUGCAGCCCUAAAAAAACUAAAAAUAAAUAAAUAAAUAGAACCAGGAAUUUCCCCUGUGGCAUAGUGAGAUUGGUGGGGUCUCUGCAGCGGCAGGGACAAGGGUUGGUCCUGGCUGGGCACAGUGGGUUAAGGAACUGGCAUCGCCAUAGCUGUGGUGUAGGUUGCAACUCCAGCUUGGAUUCGACCCCUGGCCUGGGAACUUGCAUAUGCCGCGGGGUGGCCAAAAAAGGAAAAAACCCAAAAAACAGACCCACAUUGGGUGGGGAUUUGUCAUGCGUUGGUGAUAACAUGUAAUAUCUUUUAUUGUCCUAUAGCAGCCCUCUUGUUAGCAGUUUUUUACGGGUGAGGAAACUGAGGCUUAUAGGUGAUGGGGUAUGUGGCUGGGACUCCACAGUAUCCUGGCUUCUCUUCCUAGACUUACAGCAGGCUACAUAUUCGAGUCUCUCUUGCAGGAGGUGGGUUCAUGGACCCCUCCCUCCUCCCCAGGGAAUGUGAGUGGACAUGAUUGUAUUAACUGCGGCGUGGCCCUUUAAAAAUAAAAUAGUUACACGUGUGAUCUUGGCGCUCCUUAUCCAUCAACCAGUUGAAGGGAGAGGGCUUCCAAGAUGCUGAGGACCUAGAAGAAGGCAGAGUCACAAGAUGCGAGGAGCCUGGGGCCCUGUGCUGGAGCAGAGCUGUUCCCUUGCUGACUGCUGUGUGAGUGACGAGUCAGCUCGUUCCGUGUUAACUUAGGUUGGGUUUCUCUCUUAAACCGGCGAAUGCCAUUUACCCUAAUUAUACAUGGAAACUUCGCAAGUCCUGUUUGGUGAGCAGCUGAGUUAGGAUUGUUCCUGUCAAGCUGUCGCCAGGGUGCACAAUCUCAUCCCCUAAAAGGCCUUUCCAGAAUCGUCUAUCAUUGUGCGACUCUUUACGGAAGAGGUCAAACAUUUCAUCCUGGUCAUUCUAGCACCGCCUCGAGGAAAGGCAAGAGAGGACUUUUUGUUUGUGUGUUUUAACCCAAGACGGUCUCCGUCUCCCAUAGUUUGAGGCGGGUGUGGGUGUGAUGGAGGGCUGGGCUGGCCUGAGUGUCACAGGCUACUCAUGGAUCAUUCAAAGAAGGUUGGUAUAAAGAGAGUUUCACAUUCAAGGGAAAUGCUGGUGACACGUGAUUCCCCGUGUACUCCGCCGCCCCUUUGGGCCUCCCUGCCACCGGAUAGGCUGAGUCAGCAAAAGCUCUGGGCUGGGCAAGCAUCUCUCUGCCUUCUUGCCUGAGAGCCACUUUCUGCCUGGGUUGGUUGGUGGCACUGGCUGCACCUACCCCAGGGGGACAUAGGACACAGUAGUUGGUUCCCAUUUGGCUCCCACCAGAUCAGGAUGCCAGCUGGCCUCAUGACCAGGGGGACAUUGAUCUGUGAGCACAUAUCCAAGGGGCCCUGACCCCAUCGAGUCAAACAAGGCUGCUGAACCAAAGCACCUGGGAGCUGUGUCUGCUUUCUGCCCUCCUGAAGGGGUAUGGCCCCAACCUCCUCCAGAAAACGGGGGUGUUCACACAGGCUUCUGAGAAGGAUAUUCUUUGGAGGAUUUAGGUUCUCCUGUUUGCUUGCUCUGCUACUGGGGCCCUCCAGGUCCAAUACUGGGUGUACAGAAGGCUAGCCUGGCCUCUCUCCCUGCCUCCCUCCCCCUGGAAGGCCAGUCCGGUCAGGCUGGAGGACCGGAGGCAGCAGUGAUUCAGAGCACUUGCAGGGUCCUGGGGUGAUGUGCCACCCAGACCUUGCGAGAGGUUUUGAAAUUGACCACAGCCCAGCUUGAAUCAUUCUACCACUUCCCGGCUGGGUGACAAGUGGCCUCAGUUUCUCCACCUGCAAAGUGAAUGAUACCAGGAGCUUGUUCUUGAAAUCCAUCCCUGAGAUACACUUCCAUUUCUUUUUUGGCCACCAGCCUCAUCAACUCACACAGUUGACCACAUCAGCUCCCUACCUGUUCGCUGCAUGGUAUCCAGAGCACUUGUUAAGAAAUUAAAACGGAUUCCCUCUCGUUUCUAAUUUAAAAAAAAUCCAGUCUUUAUGGAGUUCCCUUGUGGUUCGGCAGGUUAAGGAUCUGGCAUUGUCACUGCUGUGGUGCAGGUUCAAUUUCUGGCCCUGGGAACUUCUGCAUGCCAUGAGUGCAGCCAAAAAAAAAAAAAAAAAAUCCAAUCUUUAAUCAGCUCGUUUUCUGAAACUCGCCAACCUCUUCUGUUUUCCAGCAUAUGUGACCACAGUGCCUU